CGAAGAUUUUAGAUCAUCAAAUCUUACAUUUUUAGACUAGAGAAUUCCGUCAAAGUUUAUGAUUUAUAAUUUUUCUGCUAGAUGAGUUUAUUUCUAUGAUCUUGGAAUGCGCGAGAACUGAGAAGCGCUUGAAGCCUUCACAAGUAUUUUACUCCUUGGAAUUGCUAUCUGCUCUGACUUUUAACUGCUCAAAUAAAAACGGAAAAUGAAAAUAUAUUUCAAAUUAUUUUUGCCUUAACAUACCCAUAACAAAGUGAUGCAUUCCAUUCAACCCUAAACUUUUAUAAAAUUAGCAUCUCAAUACUUGUUUUCGUCAUUAAGCAAAUUCCAAGAUAGUUGAGUCAUGCCAUUAGUUAUCAUAAUUUAAAUUAAACUGACGCCUAAAUUUCCAUGCACAUUCAACUGCAAAUCGUUUCAAAACUUCUUCUUUUUGUGAAUUUUUUUUCAAAAAGUGCCUCUAAAGAGAGUUUGAUGGCAACUUUAUGUUAGAAGCUGGUAACAGGCAUUUUCUUAUAGUUUAACUUUAAGCCUUGGUGAACAAGACUGUGUGUGUUACCACUUCUGAUUUUUGCUUUAUAGCCAAAAAAUUGAGAAUUUUUUAAUUUUGCCUAG
rnacentral:lncRNA from 1 species